GAAAUAGUAUUAGGGUCGGUCGAUUUUUGAAUAUUUUCCAUCCGAGCGUCUGGACCUAGCUGAUCCGACUCAGCGAAGUCUAAAGAAAAUUUUAAGACCAAAAAAAAUAUUUUCAAAAAUGUUCUAUGCUUUGCCCAAGACGAUUUUUUGAAAAUCUUCUACUUUUUCGAGGUAUCGACAAUCUAAAGGCUUUCUUGUCUAUGCCAAAAAGUGAAUUGUUGGUAAAACGGUCUUAGUAUAAAGUACAGUGUCUACUCUAAUAAACAAACCCAAAGAAACAUCCUUUUUGUGAGGAAAAUACUUUUCCCGGGUAAAAAAGUUUCGCAGAUUUUUCCACAAAAUGAGUUUAAAUUUUGUCGCACAAUAGCUUAUUUUAAAGCUACGUUGAUAGGGAACCAAGAAGUAAAAAGAUUUUGAGAAAAGAUUUAAAUGCGGUCGAGUGAUCGCCAUUAGAGUGACUAAAAAUUAGCCAUUUUCGACAUACAUGGAAAAGUGAUCUUCCCUAAACAAUAAAUAAAUCAUGUUUUUCAUUAUGAAUAUAGUUUUUGG